UACGGGGGGGGCAAGCGUUGUCCGGAAUUAUUGGGCGUAAAGAGCUCGUAGGCGGUUCGUCACGUCGGCUGUGAAAUCCCGAGGCUCAACCUCGGGUCUGCAGUCGAUACGGGCGGACUUGAGUACUGCAGGGGAGACUGGAAUUCCUGGUGUAGCGGUGAAAUGCGCAGAUAUCAGGAGGAACACCGGUGGCGAAGGCGGGUCUCUGGGCAACAACUGACGCUGAGGAGCGAAAGCGUGGGGAGCGAACAGG
rnacentral:rRNA from 1 species